rnacentral:misc_RNA from 1 species
UUAAGUUCAGCGGGUAAUCCUACCUGAUUUGAGAUCAAAGUUCAUAUGUAAAGCUUGCGCUAUACGUUUUAUAGCUUCCAGUCAAAAAAGUGGGAGAAUACUACCUAUUCUUACCACACUGAGAGUGACCUUCCACAGCUCAUUUCCAAGGAAUAACCAAAGCUAAACCUCAACUCCCACUCCAUAGAGUAGAGUACUUU